CCUACGGGCGGCAGCAGUGAGGAAUAUUGGUCAAUGGGCGCGAGCCUGAACCAGCCAAGUAGCGUGAAGGAUGACUGCCCUACGGGUUGUAAACUUCUUUUAUAAAGGAAUAAAGUGCGGCACGUGUGCCUUUUUGUAUGUACUUUAUGAAUAAGGAUCGCCUAACUGCGGGCCAGCAGCCGCGGUAAUACGGAAGAUCGGCGCGUUUUCUGGAUUUAUAGGGUUUAAAGGGAGCGCAGGUGGAUUGUUAAGUCAGUUGUGAAAGUUCGCGGCGCAACCGUAGAAUUGCAGUGGAGACUGGCAGUCUUGAGUUCAGUAGAGGUGGGCGGAAUUCAUGGUGUAGCGGUGAAAUGCUUAGAUAUCACGAAGAACUCCGAUUGCGAAGGCAGCUCACUGGACUGCAACUGACGCUGAGGCUCGAAAGUGUGGGGAUCAAACAGGAUUAGAUACCCCAGUAGUC
rnacentral:rRNA from 1 species